rnacentral:tmRNA from 1 species
UGACCCGGCCGUCCCACCCCUUCACUCGGCCGGCGGGGUCGGGGAGCUGCGGAAGCUGCCGGACGGCGGGUUCCAGUCCCAGAUCUCCAGAUCGCCGUCCUUGGCGGGCCGCUCGACGUCCUCGCCCUCAUCGCCCCGGACGAUCCGCUCCUCUUCGGUCAGCGGCGGUUCGGCGGGCACCGGAUCGGUCGCCUGCUCGGCGAUCGUGCGGACCUGCGCGGGCAGCAGCACCGGCGCGGGCUCGGGGGCUUCUACCUCCGCGUCCGACUCGGGCAGCGGCGGCGCCUUCUCCUCGCGCCGCGCGACCUCCAGCUCGUCCGCCCGCGUCUCGCGCCGCACGACGUCGGGCUCGUCCUCGACUACCUGCGCGUCCGCACGCGUGUCGCGUCGCGUGACUUCCGGCUCGUCCUCGGCCGCGCGCAUGUCGCGCUGCGUGGCGUCGGGCUCGUCCCCGGCCGCACGUGUGUCGCGCCGCGUCGCGUCGGG